rnacentral:rRNA from 1 species
AUAUUGGUCAAUGGCCUAACGGCUGAACCAGCAAUUUGGAAGUACCGAGUAUAAAGAAAUAAAAAAAACUUUUUUCUAAAUACUCACUUUGAUAAUUUUCAAGGGAUAAAGCGAUAAUUUCGCAUAUAAUACUAGAUAAAAAGUAACAAUGACUAUUUUUAUCUAUAAGUCUUGGCCAAAUUACGUGCCAGCAGUCGCGGUAAUACGUAGAAGACUAGUGUUAUUCAUCUUUAAUCGGUUUAAAGGGUACCUAGACGGAAAAUCAAGCCAUUUAAAACAAAACAAUUGGUACUAAUUUUCUAGAGUUUUAUAAAAGAAUGUCGAAUAACUAGAGAAGAGAUAAAAUUUUUUGAUACUGGUUAGACGGGUAACAGUGAAGACUACAUUCUAUGUAAAAACUGACGUUGAGGAACGAAGCCUUGGGUAGCAAUAAGGAUUAGAUACCCUAGUAGUCCAAGGAGAAAAUUAUGAAUGCCAUAGACUAGUUUAAUUUAGUUUAUAAAUGAAAGUGUAAGCAUUCCACCUCAUGAGUAAAACGGCAACGCCGAAAUUGAAAUCAUUAGACCGUGUCUGAAACCAGUAGUGAAGUAUGUUAUUUAAUUCGAUAAUCCGCGAAUAACCUUACCACGUUUUGAAUUUUUAUAUUUUUACAAGCGUUGCAUGGCUGUCUUAAGUUAAUGUCGUGAGAUUUGGUUCACUCCUUUAAUUAACGAAAUCCCUUGUUUUAAUUUGAUUUAAAACAUAUUUAUCUACAUAUUGGGUAAAUUUAGAGGGACCAAGACAAGUCAUCAUGGCCUUAAUAACGUGGGCUAUA